rnacentral:tRNA from 1 species
CGAGGUAUGGGUCAAAGGCUGAUCACUCCGUUUGGGGCGGAGACCAUGCAGGUUCGAGUCCUGCUACCUCGA